CACGGGGCUUGCUCCUGGUGGCGAGUGGCGAACGGGUGAGUAAUACAUCGGAACGUACCCUGAAGUGGGGGAUAACGUAGCGAAAGUUACGCUAAUACCGCAUAUUCUGUGAGCAGGAAAGAGGGGGAUCGCAAGACCUCUUGCUUUAGGAGCGGCCGAUGUCGGAUUAGCUAGUUGGUGAGGUAAAGGCUCACCAAGGCGACGAUCCGUAGCGGGUCUGAGAGGAUGAUCCGCCACACUGGGACUGAGACACGGCCCAGACUCCUACGGGAGGCAGCAGUGGGGAAUUUUGGACAAUGGGCGCAAGCCUGAUCCAGCCAUGCCGCGUGAGUGAAGAAGGCCUUCGGGUUGUAAAGCUCUUUCGGUGGGGAAGAAAUUGCUUUCGGUUAAUACCUGGAGUAGAUGACGGUACCCGCAUAAGAAGCACCGGCUAACUACGUGCCAGCAGCCGCGGUAAUACGUAGGGUGCGAGCGUNAAUCGGAAUUCUGGGCGUAAAGCGUGCGCAGGCGGUUGUAUAAGUCAGAUGUGA
rnacentral:rRNA from 1 species